UUGUGUGUUGCAGACUGUCGAAGAGGAGCACCACCGGCUGCAGGAGGCCCUUUCCAAGUUCUCACUGGGGGGGGGGAACUUCCAGUGAGACACCAUCACGCCACCUGCUGGCCACUAGAUUUUUACUGGUGCUGGUUUGGAGUGCAGAGUGACUUUCAGAGGCUUCCCUGGCAAUUCCUAAACCCUCGUAGGCCAUGCGUGGACCCUGCUGCAUCAUGGGGCUUUGUGCACAGUGCAGGGGCUCACUGAUGAAACAUGGGAGGGAGUGUGCAUGUGUAUGUGUGUCUGUUUGCAUGCAUGCUUGGUAGAGAGGUAAACAAAGAAAAAAAAAAGACAAACGGGACAUCCUACUUUGAGGUUGUUUUUGCAGAGAGGUGCCAAAAAAAAAAAAGAAGCAAUAUUGUGCUAUGAGAGAUGCUGCCUAACAAACUGUAGUGAUUGCGAUCUGCUGUAACACACAUACGCACACCAGAGACAUGCACGCUAGAAAAUAAUUUACUUUAUUGCCAAUAGCAGAUGUGCAGCAAAGGAUAUUCCUAUGAUUACCCGCCUGGUUAUCUAUGAGCAGGUGGAGGCCUUGAGGGGCCAAUGUAGCGUUUGAAGAUGUAUUGAAAUACUACUGCUGACAUAUAGUGUUAUUUCUAGUCUAUGCCAAAGCUCCACAGAGAUGCACUUUUUUUAUAAUCAAACCAAGUUAAGGCCACACUGUUUCCGCGCAUUGUAUUUACUCUAUUCAGUACAGAUUGGGCUCCAUGUAGGCAGCCCUUAUUAUUGAAAAUAUUGCAUGCAGGAACGUGUGUGUGUGUAUGUGUGUUACAAAGUUUUUUUUAAUUAAGGAUGUGCUUGUUUGGGGGGUUCUUACUGCCAUUAGGUCACAUAGAAACAUUUAUAAAUAGUGGCGCUAUAGGUAAUCAUGCUGUUGAUAAUGGAGACUUGUUUGUAUUUACCGCUUUUAUUUAUUCCUCUGGGGUCUGUUGGGUCAGCGAGUUGUGUUACAGCACUGUGCCGAAAUAAUAAAAAAGAUGGAGAGAUGUUUCAAAACGGAGAAGGAAAA